UUUAUUUUACCGGGGCGUUUUUAAUAAACAUUCUAAAAUAAAUUGCUGUGCUAUGAAACUUUGAAUGGACAGAUUUUAAACUAUCUAUUCAAGGAGAACAUUUAUUAAAAUAGUUUCCAAGAGAUAAGUACGUCUUUCAUAAAAGUUCUACAGGAACAGAUAUCUUCUCGAAUGAGAGCUUCAAGGCUGAACAAAAUAUUAUCCACAACGGAAGAGGAGUUGCAAUAAAGGUGCUUCUAUCUGAAGCUGGUAAUAGAAGUACAUAGUGCGCAUGCCCAGGUAAGAAGUCAGGGAAUGGGUGUCCGCUAUCUGCGCUCUUUCUCUGUUGGAUACCUUUCUCUUUCUACCGACGGAACGCUAGCCUAACAAGAGCCCUCAUGCUCGACGACCACCACCAUGCACCGAGUCGAUAUAUCCGACAUUGACAAUUCGUCUGCGAGCACCCUCUACUGUUCGAAUAUUACUAUAUUGCUUCACUGGAAAAGUUUUCAAGCUUUCCGAGGUCUUUACAGAAAGUAGAAAUUUGAACGGAGCAGCGACGUUUAUUUGAUAUCAAAAUAUUGUUAAGAAUGCGAACUGGCGAUAGAGUUAUUGACUGAUGGUCUGUCAUAACUAGACUGUGGAGCUUUUUGCGAAAUGAAAACUUUCCAAGACGAUUGUAAGAAGUAGAAAUCAAAUAAAAAUAAAUUGUUUCUUUUAA